rnacentral:ncRNA from 1 species
UGGCUUUUUUGGCACACUUGAGCGAAAGCCAAGGUCGCAAAGCCUCCGGUCUGACACCUGCCACAGGCAGAAAAGACAGCGGGGUUGCCGAA